UACAGAGGGUGCGAGCGUUAAUCGGAGUGACUGGGCGUAAAGGGCGCGUAGGCGGUUGAAUAAGUGAGUUGUGAAAUACCCGGGCUUAACCUGGGAAAUGCAAUUGAGACUGUUUGACUGGAGUACAGUAGAGGGCAGAGGAAUUUCCGGUGUAGCGGUGAAAUGCGUAGAGAUCGGAAGGAACACCAGUGGCGAAGGCGACUGUCUGGACUGAAACUGACGCUGAGGCGCGAGAGCGUGGGUAGCAAACAGG
rnacentral:rRNA from 1 species